UAUAGGGGAGGCGAAGGGAAACCGAGUCUGAAUAGGGCGCAUAGUCGCAAGGCUUAGACCCGAAACCGGGUGAUCUAGCCAUGCCCAGGGUGAAGGUGCGGUAACACGCACUGGAGGCCCGAACCCACUCCUGUUGCAAAAGUAGGGGAUGAGGUGUGGCUAGGAGUGAAAAGCUAAUCGAACCCGGAGAUAGCUGGUUCUCCUCGAAAGCUAUUUAGGUAGCGCCUCGUGUAUCACUGCUGGGGGUAGAGCACUGUUAUGGCUAGGGGGUCAUUGCGACUUACCAAACCAUUGCAAACUCCGAAUACCAGCACGUGCAAGCACGGGAGACACACGGCGGGUGCGAACGUCCGUCGUGAAAAGGGAAACAACCCAGACCUGCAGCUAAGGUCCCAAAGUCAUGGCUAAGUGGGAAACGAUGUGGGAAGGCACAGACAGCCAGGAGGUUGGCUUAGAAGCAGCCAUCCUUUAAAGAAAGCGUAAUAGCUCACUGGUCGAGUCGGCCCGCGCGGAAGAUUUAACGGGGCUAAGCCAUGCACCGAAGCUCGGGGUUCACACUUAGGUGUGAGCGGUAGAGGAGCGUUCCGUACGCCUGCGAAGGUGGAUCGUAAGGUCUGCUGGAGGUAUCGGAAGUGCGAAUGCUGACAUGAGUAACGAUAAUGGGGGUGAAAAGCCCCCACGCCGAAAGCCCAAGGUUUCCUCGCGCAACGUUCAUCGGCGCAGGGUUAGUCGGUCCCUAAGGCGAGGCGGAAACGCGUAGUCGAUGGGAAGCUGGUUAAUAUUCCAGCACCGCUCGUGAUUGCGAUGGAGUGACGGAGAAGGCUAGGUGUACCGGGCGUUGGUUGUCCCGGGGAAAGGCGGUAGGUGGAUCCCUUAGGCAAAUCCGGGGGAUCAUACACCGAGCACCGAGACGAGCCCUUCUGGGCGAAGUCACUGAUGCCACGCUUCCAGGAAAAGCUUCUAAGCUUCAGAUCACGAGGACCGUACCGUAAACCGACACAGGUAGGCAGGGUGAGAAUCCCAAGGCGCUUGAGAGAACUCGGGUGAAGGAACUAGGCAACAUAGCACCGUAACUUCGGGAGAAGGUGCGCCCGGAGAUGUGGCUACAUGCGUAGCUGAGCAUUUCCGGGCCGCAGUGACCAGGCCGCUGCGACUGUUUAUCAAAAACACAGCACUCUGCAAACACGAAAGUGGACGUAUAGGGUGUGACACCUGCCCGGUGCCGGAAGGUUAAUUGAUGGGGUCAGCCGCAAGGCGAAGCUCUUGAUCGAAGCCCCGGUAAACGGCGGCCGUAACUAUAACGGUCCUAAGGUAGCGAAAUUCCUUGUCGGGUA
rnacentral:rRNA from 1 species